rnacentral:rRNA from 1 species
AACGUAGGUCACAAGCGUUGUCCGGAAUUACUGGGUGUAAAGGGAGCGCAGGCGGGCGAUCAAGUUGGAAGUGAAAUCCAUGGGCUCAACCCAUGAACUGCUUUCAAAACUGGUCGUCUUGAGUAGUGCAGAGGUAGGCGGAAUUCCCGGUGUAGCGGUGGAAUGCGUAGAUAUCGGGAGGAACACCAGUGGCGAAGGCGGCUUACUGGGCACCAACUGACGCUGAGGCUCGAAAGUGUGGGUAGCAAACAGG